rnacentral:rRNA from 1 species
AUGAAUUAUGAGUUUAAUAGAUCCUCUUUAGCAGAAAGACGUAUAUUCCUUGCUCAUUAUCAGACAAUCACUUAUCCCCAAACCUAA